AUUCAAGUAGCUUAUAUAUUAGAGUAUAACAUUGAAGCUGUUAUGGAAAUAAUUUUAUUCUUGAAUA
rnacentral:tRNA from 1 species